rnacentral:rRNA from 1 species
GAUGAACGCUGGCGGCGUGCCUAAUACAUGCAAGUCGAGCGAACAGACGAGGAGCUUGCUCCUCUGACGUUAGCGGCGGACGGGUGAGUAACACGUGGAUAACCUACCUAUAAGACUGUGAUAACUUCGGGAAACCGGAGCUAAUACCGGAUAAUAUAUUGAACCGCAUGGUUCAAUAGUGAAAGACGGUUUUGCUGUCACUUAUAGAUGGAUCCGCGCCGCAUUAGCUAGUUGGUAAGGUAACGGCUUACCAAGGCAACGAUGCGUAGCCGACCUGAGAGGGUGAUCGGCCACACUGGAACUGAGACACGGUCCAGACUCCUACGGGAGGCAGCAGUAGGGAAUCUUCCGCAAUGGGCGAAAGCCUGACGGAGCAAAGCCGCGUGAGUGAUGAAGGUCUUCGGAUCGUAAAACUCUGUUAUUAGGGAAGAACAAAUGUGUAAGUAACUAUGCACGUCAUGACGGUACCUAAUCAGAAAGCCACGGCUAACUACGUG